CCUACGGGUGGCAGCAUUGGGUAAUCUUGCGCAAUGGGCGAAAGCCUUACGCAGCGACGCCGCGUGAGUGAUGCAGGUCUUCGGAUCGUAAACCUCUGUCAGCAGGGAAGAACGGUCACUGUGCUAAUCAGCAGUGAAUUGACCGUACCUGCAAAGGAAGCACCGGCUAACUCCGUGCCAGCAACCGCGGUAAUACGGAGGGUGCGAGCGUGAAUCGGAAUUACUGGGCGUAAAGCGCUCGUAGGCGGUAUGUCAAGUAAAGGGUGAAAUCCCCGCGCUCAACGUGGGAACUGCCUUUGAAACUGGCAAACUGGAGUGUGUGAGAGGAUAGUGGAAUUCCAGGGGUAGGAGUGAAAUCCGUAGAUAUCGGGAGGAACAUCAGUGGCGAAGGCGACUAUCUGGAACAUAACUGACGCUGAGGAGCGAAAGCGUGGGUAGCAAACAGGAUUAGAUACCCUUGUAGUC
rnacentral:rRNA from 1 species